rnacentral:rRNA from 1 species
AUUGAACGCUGGCGGCAGGCCUAACACAUGCAAGUCGAACGGUAACAGGAAGAUUCUUGCUUCUUUGCUGACGAGUGGCGGACGGGUGAGUAAUGUCUGUGAAACUGCCUGAUGGAGGGGGAUAACUACUGGAAACGGUAGCUAAUACCGCAUAACGUCGCAAGACCAAAGAGGGGGACCUUCGGGCCUCUUGCCAUCGGAUGUGCCCAGAUGGGAUUAGCUAGUAGGUGGGGUAACGGCUCACCUAGGCGACGAUCCCUAGCUGGUCUGAGAGGAUGACCAGCCACACUGGAACUGAGACACGGUCCAGACUCCUACGGGAGGCAGCAGUGGGGAAUAUUGCACAAUGGGCGCAAGCCUGAUGCAGCCAUGCCGCGUGUAUGAAGAAGGCCUUCGGGUUGUAAAGUACUUUCAGCGGGGAGGAAGGGAGUAAAGUUAAUACCUUUGCUCAUUGACGUUACCAGCAGAAGAAGCACCGGCUAACUCCGUG